AAGUCGUAACAAGGUCUCCGUUGGUGAACCAGCGGAGGGAUCAUUACAGAGUAUUAUACUCACCAAAACCAUUGUUUAUCUACCUACAUUGGCUUCUCCGGCAGGAGGUUCCAGGGCGGGACCAAGCCUAACAGCACCUGCCGAAGGGGCAACCCACUGCUCUAUAUUAUACUGUCUGAGUACCAAAAACAAAUAUCAAAAUUUUCAAUUGUGGAUCUCUUGGUUCUGGCAUCGAUGAAGAUCGCAGCGAAAUGCGAUAAGUAAUGUGAAUUGCAGAAUUCAGCGAACCAUCGAAUUUUUGAACGCACAUUGCGCCCAUUAGUAUUCUAUUGGGCAUGCCUAUUCGAGCGUCAUUUCCACCCUCAGGCUUCGCCUGGUAAUGGGGUCUUGCGAUUGCAAACCCUAAAAAUUAGUGGCGGGCGUGCUGAAAACCCGAGCGUAGUACUACUCCUCGCUAUGGGCUACAGUGCUGUCCUUGCCGUAAACCCCCCCUAUAAUGACAAGGUUGACCUCGGAUUAGGUAGGAAUACCCGCUGAACUUA
rnacentral:rRNA from 1 species